rnacentral:rRNA from 1 species
AAUCCUGGCUCAGAUUGAACGCUGGCGGCAGGCCUAACACAUGCAAGUCGAGCGGAUGAAGAGAGCUUGCUCUCUGAUUCAGCGGCGGACGGGUGAGUAAUGCCUAGGAAUCUGCCUGAUAGUGGGGGACAACGUUUCGAAAGGAACGCUAAUACCGCAUACGUCCUACGGGAGAAAGCAGGGGACCUUCGGGCCGUUGCGCUAUCAGAUGAGCCUAGGUCGGAUUAGCUAGUUGGUG